rnacentral:rRNA from 1 species
GACGGAGGAUGCAAGCGUUAUCCGGAAUGAUUGGGCGUAAAGCGUCUGCAGGUGGCAGUUCAAGUCUGCUGUCAAAGACCGGGGCUUAACUUCGGAAAGGCAGUGGAAACUGAACAGCUAGAGUAUGGUAGGGGCAGAGGGAAUUCCUGGUGUAGCGGUGAAAUGCGCAGAUAUCAGGAAGAACACCCGUGGCGAAGGCGGUUCUCUGGGACGGUACUGACGCUGAGACGCGAAAGCGUGGGGAGCGAACAGG